AUCACCCCUAGCCAAGAGGGGUUUAGCCACUCAUAUUUACAACAAAACGAAAGGAAAUGAAUUUAAAUAUUAUAAACAAAAGAAAGAAAACACCUAAACGCUCCAACGAUCCAAGUUGGACACCAAGCAUGUCCAAGCACUUUCCUUCCCUUCCUUUGCUACGGCACAAGGUGUUGGUGAGUGUUUGAAGGUUUGUUUGUAUGGAGGAAUGGCUGAAUGUGUUUAGGUUGGAUGGAGGUCACGGCAAGGAAAGGGAAAUGAAGGUGCAUGGAAUUGUGUUUUUGUUGUGGGAAUGUGUAGAAUGGUUAAGAAGAAAAGACUCUGCCUUGCGGCAGAAUGUGUCUUCCUCCCUUCUCCCUAAACUGUCCCCCUGAAUGUGUCUUUGGAUGGAUAUAUUUAUAGGCUAGGGAGAGGAUGUAGUGGGUGGUGGUAAUGAGUGGAUGUAGUGGUAGGUGAAUGUGUUGGGUGGUUGAAAUGAGUGGAUGUGUUGAGUGAAAUGAGUGGAUGUAGUGGUAGGUGAAUGGAUGUGUUGGGUGAAAUGAGUGGAUGUAGUAGUAGGUGAAUGGAUGUGUUGGGUGAAAUGAGUGGAUGUAGUGGUAGGUGAAUGUGUUGGGUGGUUGUAAUAAGUGGAUGUAGUGGUAGGUGAAUGUGUUGGGUGGUUGUAAUGAGUGGAUAUGUUGGGUGAAAUGAGUGGAUGUGUUGGGUGGUUGUAAUGAGUGGAUGUGUUGGGUGAAAUGAGUGUGCUAAAAUGGUUAUUUAUAAGGAGAGGAUGAUGCACAAACUUCAAAUUUCAUCCAUUCCUUUUGCUCCAAGCAUAUGUUAUCCAUUCCAUGACCAAAAAUGCUCCAAAAUGCACUUCUUUGCCACAUUAACCCUUUGGCCCUACAAACACACGAAAAUAGCUUAAAAUACUAAAAUAACUACGAACUAACAACAUAAAUGCCAACAAACAAGCUAACUAAGUCGCAUAAAUAUGCUCCUAUCACAAAGUUGGCAAGAAAGUGCAAUUUGGAUCAUUUUGAGGCAGUUUUGGGCAUCAAAUUGAUAGCUUAUAAAUGGAGCAAGAUGGAUGGACGAACUUGAAUUUCAAGAGGCUAGGAAUGUGCUGAAAAGAGUGAAGAAAUAAAUCCAAGACAAAGAAGAUAAGGAAUUUGCUCAAAAGAAGGAACACUA
rnacentral:lncRNA from 1 species